UAAUACGGAGGGUGCAAGCGUUAUCCGGAUUUAUUGGGUUUAAAGGGUCCGCAGGCGGAACUUUAAGUCAGUGGUGAAAGCCUACAGCUUAACUGUAGAACUGCCAUUGAUACUGAAAUUCUUGAGUGUGGUUGAAGUGGGCGGAAUAUGUCAUGUAGCGGUGAAAUGCAUAGAUAUGACAUGGAACACCAAUUGCGAAAGCAGCUCACUAAACCAUUACUGACGCUCAUGGACGAAAGUGUGGGUAGCGAACAGGAUUAGAUACCCUGGUAGUCCACACCGUAACUAUGAUCACUAGAUGUUGGCGAUAUAAUGUCAGUGUUAAAGAGAAAUCGUUAAGUGAUCCACCUGGGGAGUACGUUCGCAAGAAUG
rnacentral:rRNA from 1 species